CCUACGGGAGGCAGCAGUGAGGAAUAUUGGUCAAUGGGCGUAAGCCUGAACCAGCCAAGUCGCGUGAGGGAUGAAGGUUCUAUGGAUCGUAAACCUCUUUUAUAAGGGAAUAAAGUGUGGGACGUGUCCUGUUUUGUAUGUACCUUAUGAAUAAGGAUCGGCUAACUCCGUGCCAGCAGCCGCGGUAAUACGGAGGAUCCGAGCGUUAUCGGGAUUUAUUGGGUUUAAAGGGUGUGUAGGCGGCCUUUUACGUCAGCGGUGAAAGUCUUUGGCUCAACCCUAGAAUGGCCGUUGAAACUGGGAGGCUUGAGUAUGUGUGAGGCAGGCGGAAUGCGUGGUGUAGCGGUGAAAUGCUUAGAUAUCACGCAGAACCCCGAUUGCGAAGGCAGCCUGCCAGGCCAUGACUGACGCUGAUGCACGAAAGCGUGGGGAUCAAACAGGAUUAGAUACCCGGGUAGUC
rnacentral:rRNA from 1 species